UAUCAAUAAGCGGAGGAAAAGAAACUAACAAGGAUUCCCCUAGUAACUGCGAGUGAAGCGGGAAAAGCUCAAAUUUAAAAUCUGGUAGUCUUUGGCUGCUCGAGUUGUAAUCUGGAGAAGUGUUUUCUGUACUAGGCCGUGUAAAAGUCUCUUGGAAUAGAGCGUCAUAGAGGGUGAGAAUCCCGUCUUUGACACGGACAUCUAGUGCUCUGUGAUGCACUCUCAAAGAGUCGAGUUGUUUGGGAAUGCAGCUCAAAAUGGGUGGUAAAUUCCAUCUAAAGCUAAAUAUUGGCAAGAGACCGAUAGCGAACAAGUACCGUGAGGGAAAGAUGAAAAGAACUUUGGAAAGAGAGUUAAACAGUACGUGAAAUUGUUGAAAGGGAAACGCUUGAAGUCAGUCGCGUCUAGCAAGGAUCAGCCUUUCUCGGAAGGUGUAUUUCUUACUUGACGGGUCAACAUCAAUUUUGACUACUGGAAAAAGAUUAGAGGAAGGUGGCACCUUUGGUGUGUUAUAGCCUUUAGUCAUAUACAGUAGUUGGGAUUGAGG
rnacentral:rRNA from 2 species